rnacentral:lncRNA from 1 species
GGACUGACAACACUUUCCUUGUAAACUUGUCUAUGUUAUUUUUUAUUGUUAUUUUUUGUUUAGUUAAGAAUACAGAAAACUAAAAUUCUCAAAUUAGGAUUUUUAUGUAUCUCUACAUAACACCUUCUACCUUUGAAUCUCAAAGCAUAUUAUUAGCAUUAAUUAGCAGUGCCUGAGGAUAAUGUGUGAGAUACAAAUUGAACAAUACUCAAGACAUUGGACAGAUGAGUAAACUAGGCUUUAGUGUAACUGUUAAACAUCUAUAUGAAUCCUAAUUCAUAGGAAGUGAUGGGUUUCUGCUUUUUAAAGCUAUAAAUUCCAGACAAAAAAAUAGAGAGAAAUUAAGAUUGAAAAUUUCAAGAAAAUUUGACGAGUAAAUUUUCUGAAAUUGACCUACUUAUUAAUCUCAAUGUAUGCUUAGAAUUUAAAUAAUGAUAAAAAUCAAUUAUUUUUAACCCUUCCCCCAAUGACUAUGUCCUCUGUUGUUUCCUGUUAUUGACUUGUAAUAACAAAUACAACACAAGAUAUGUAUUUAGCUGUUACAUACAGCAUGUCAGUCUGCAUGGCCCAUAGCAUUAUUGAAUGCCAGUCCUGUAUUUGGAGCAUCUUUGGAAUAGAAUAAAUGUUCAAACUGGCUGAUUGGAAGUGAGAAAAUAAUGCAGUGGCAACAACAAAUGUUUUCUUUAAUUAUAAUUCUUAAUUUAUUGAGAACAUGUCUCUUGAAAUAUUUAAAUGUGUGUGUAUAUCACAUGUAAAAGCAAAUAGGAAAAGUGAAUGACUGUAAGGUUGUUGUCAUCACUUCCAAUGGCAAAACCGCAAUUCCUUUUCAACCAACAUAAUAUUUGCUAUCUCUUUUCCAUUGUUAUACUUGACGAAGCAUGUGAAAGAGUAAUUACAUUUUAUACUAAUGUUAUCUAUUAACAAUUUCCUCCUCUCACGGUCCUUAGGAAUCCUUAUUCUCGCCAUUACCUCUGCUUCAGCUGUUUUUUCUUAGCCCCCAUCUUGCUAUUAAAAAUACUAUUAAACUUUUGGAUCGCAGUUUUUACUGUUUUCUCUGACCUCUUAAGCACCCAGAAAUCUCUUUUUCCUUAGAACUUCUGCAUCUUUUAUUUCUUCUUCAGAAAAAAAGAAAAAAAAAAAAAAAAAGAAAAGGAAGUGGCAAAAUGCCUUGGAUUCUUGUUUUAAACUUUUCAUUUUUUAAAAUACAUUUCCUUUUUAAGUAGAAUUCAAGCUCCUCUAAAGUAAAAGUUGUGUUUUAUAUUUGCUCAUAUGUAUGUGAGCAAAUACUUGGGCAGUGUGUGUACAUAAAAUGUACUGGAUUGAUAAUCUGCUAACAUUAUUUAGUUUCAGCUAUUAUUAGCUUUUGAUAAAUAAUUUUACAUCUCUGAUCUAUAGUUUCCUUGUCUAUAAUAAGGGAAUAUGUCCUCCAAUGCUUGUUCAGAGAAUCAGAGGGUUAAAUAACAGGAUAAUGAGUUGGAACAGUACCUAAGUACUUGGGAAACCUUCAAUAAUUAUUAAUUGAACCAAAGUUCACAUACUACAUUAUAUUUAGGACAUGGUAAACAGUCUAUAUGUGUAUGGAAAAUACAUGACAGGACUUUAUAUAUCACAUAUAUAGGUUUUUAAGCUAGCCUUGUAUGUAUCUUAUUUGAUGUUCAAACUUUAUUAGAAAGAUGGCUAUAUUCUUCAUUUUGAAAGUACAGAUGUAAAUUUUGUGUGAUUUCCUCACAUACUUUUGCAGACUCUAACUUGAUUCUAGAUCUUUUCAUUUUUAACUCCAGUUUUUUUUUUUUAACGUACAUGUUGAGUUAGAGUAUAGAUGUGUUUUAUUAUUUAACUAUACAGAGUUUCCUCUUCAAAAGGAAAAAAGGAAAAAUUUCCAGGAAUAUAGAGUAGAUUUUUUCACAUUUGCCCACUGUGAACAGAUAGCAUGGUUUAUAGUUAUUUUAUUCUGCAGUCCCCUACCCAAUAUUUGGUCCUGAGUUGGUGAUCAAUAAAUACUUGAAUACUGUUAGUUGGCUUAAAAGGAAAAGAAGAAAUAUAUGUUUUCUUGUUUUCUUUUUUACAUAUACUAACAGAGAAAGAAGAGUAUUAGCAAGUGAAAUCUUAUUUAGAUGCCAAACUCCCUAAUUGAAAUGGAGGCUUUGAGCACCCCUCCAUAAAUCACUUAGAUUCAGCCUUUUUGCUUGUGAUUAAAACAAAAAAAAAUUGGAACUCUAUGUUUGCCUAGUCAAAAUGUGAACAAUUUGUAUGGCACAAUGUGAAUAAUAAG